rfam:Ictidomys tridecemlineatus contig109617, whole genome shotgun sequence.
ACAGUGGUCUUUUUGGAGACCACCCCAAAAAUAGUAACACAUUUAAU